CUUGAGGACAAAAUUGACUUUCCUCAGGACCGAAAAGUCCCGGGGAUUUUGGUUUCUUUAUGGCUGGGAGUCAGGAAAGACCCUUCCUGCCCAGUGGCGAGGACAUGUGGCCUCUCCUUCUCUGCUUUCCUGGGGAAGGAAAUGGCAGGCAGCACCUCGCUUUACUCCAUGUCCAGCCCAACAGCCCUUCCUAUGUUGGAAAACUUGUAGAAUCCAUCUGGGGAAGAAAAGGUGCUGUGGUUCCAAUUGCAACGACAUCCUCUGUUCACUGCUGCCCAGGCCCUGUGGCACCAGAUGUUUUAUGAAGACACCAUCUCUACCUUCUAGAAGAUUCUAGUCUACAUGGAAAAUGCAAGCAAGCAUGGCAGAGUGAAAAGCAGAACGGUGGGUUAAGACCACAGACUCUGGAGUUUGCUCCCUGGUCUGAAUCCUGACCUAGUUACUUAUGGGUCAUGUACUAUGCCUCAGUUUCCCCCUCCAAAAAAUGAGGAUGACGAUAACAACGGUGUCUCCUUAUGGAGUUGUUAUAAGGAUGAAAUGAGUCACUGUUUGCAAAGCCCUUAGAACAGUGUCUGGCAUCACACACCUACAGUGUUUGCAAAAUAAAUAGCACAUGAGUAAAAUAAAAAAUGUGGGCCGUGACAACUGGGAUGAGACCACUUUUAGUUUUUAAGAUGAGGUUUGGCAGUUUUCCAACAUGAGGUUUUUUUUUUUUCUAAGCAUGGUUUCUAUUGCUCCUAAUCUGCUUUGGGUUUGUGGGAAAGGCAC
rnacentral:lncRNA from 1 species